ACAGGAUAGUAAGAAGAGAAACCCACCCCCUUUCUCCUCCUUGUAUCCACAUGCGUUUCUCAUCAUGCUAUGCAAGACAGAGGCAAAUACGAUCCACCACCACUAAAUACCGUUCAACAGGAAAAAGUUAUUAACAUUUCAUGGCUUCCAAUCCUUCGCUUCAAUUUGGAUUUCAAGGCACCACAGAACCAAAUCCUUGCACUGUGGAAUCCCCGGCUACGCUUUUAAUCAAACACCUUCCAGACGCUAUUCCUCAUGAUACCCUUUCUCGCCUCUUGUCUCAUUACGGUGCUUCCUCUGUUCGCCCUUGCUCUGCUGGAAGGUUGAGAAAUUGUGCUUUCGUGGAUUUCAAAAAUGAUAUGCUGGCAUCUCAAGCACAACGUCAACUAAAUGGGUUGAAAUUUCUUGGUAAAGUCUUGUCAGCAGAGAGAGCCGGUAAACCAAAUGAGAAUGUGGGAAAAAGCAGUGGAGCUCAGCUGGGAAAAGACUCUAAAACAUCAGCAGUGAGGAGUGAAGAUGUUAUCAAACCUAUUGAUGGAGAAGCAAAAUCAGGAGGCUUCCCUAUUCCCGAGCCAAUUGCCCACAGAAUUGGUGUUGAUUAUCCAUUUCCUCCUCAUCUUGAGUAUGCUUAUCCUCCACCAGAUGGCAAUAUACUGACCAACAUCGUGAAUGCUCUAAUUGCCGUUCCUCGCUUUUACACUCAGGUUCUACACUUGAUGAACAAAAUGAACAUUCCGGCUCCCUUUCGUAUGGCACUACCCACGCCACCAUUACCUCCAGAGGUGCCAGCCCCACUCCCACCCGUGCCUCCUCCUCAUUCUGUAACUGCAAUGCCUCGCUCUGCAAAUAUGUCAAGUGAUGAAUCAGAAAUGGAAUCUUCAGAUGAGGAGGGUGGAGCAAGAACAGGAAAUCAUGGACGAAAGCGUGCCAGGCGUGGGGCUAUUGUUGGCCCUGCUAUUGAUAAAGAUGUGGCUCAUGAGUCUGUUGGAGUAAAACCUGCCACCUUGAUCCCGAAAGAAAUCCCGAUGAUAAAAAAGAACCUCGUCUUAAAGAUCAAUAUUGCUCCCAAAGCAACGCUGAAUGAACAUAAGGAUAAUGCCACAGGAAUAGAGUUACAAGAGACAGAAAAAGAUACUCUAGAUCCGAACAAAUUUUUGACUCCUGAUGAACUAGAGAGAGGAAAGUUGCCUCCGGAGGAGAUCUUGUCUCUUCCAAAGUUUAAGAACUAUACACCGGGAAAUCCUGCUUCUGUGUUGUAUAUUAAGAAUUUGGCCAAAGAUGUGGUUGCUGAUGAUUUCUAUCUUUUAUUUGGAUCCUUCUUUGGAAGUACUGAUGCUGCUAAGUCUGGUCUUCAAGUCAAACUGAUGCAGGAAGGAAGGAUGAAGGGUCAAGCUUUUUUAACAUUCCCCUCCACAGAACUGGCUCAUCAAGCUCUGGUUUUUUUCGCCAUUGUAUGCUAAAUAAAAAAAUCAGUAGUCAUGGUACUAGCUAUUUUGGAGAUCGUAACAAACAUCAUCAUAAUUUAGUGAAUGGAUAUAAAUUCAAAGGGAAGCCAAUGAUAAUUCAGUUUGGCCGGAAUCCUGCUGCUGCCAAGGCAACUUAAAUCUAUGGACACAGAAAAGAUGUUUUCCAUAUUGUGCUUUAAAAGCUCCGUUGCUUAUUGCUUGAUUACAUGCAUGACUACAGAUGGCUAAUGAUGCAUUCUUCAUUCAAUGACCGGGUUCUCCCCGAUAGACCUAGACCAUGGCUACGUAUGUACAUUAUCCUCGGUUGUGUAGUGACAAGCUGAGAUAUAAAACUAGUCUGCAUAGGAAUCUAGAAUUCAAACCAGAUUGUUAGCAAGAGAGGUUGAAAAUGCAAACCAAGCUUAUUUAUUACAAAGGAAGUUUUGCUGUUGCUGUAGACUGUCUUUGUUGGAAACCAAAAAAUAGAUUAACUUUAUCAUACAAGGAUGGUGAUCCUCUUUGAUAUCAAGCGUACAGAAAAUAUAGAGUGGCACUUGGUUCAUUUUCUGCUGUAUUACUAAACAAUAUAGGGAACUUUUCCUCAAAAAUUAUGUAGGGAACUUGGCUACAGUUAAGGAUCUGAUAGCAAUGUGAACCAUGAAGCAGCACCUUAUCUGUCGAUUUCACCGUUUUUCUUUAUUUCCCAUCUUGGGCAUAGAUAUGGGUUUACAUAUUUAAUAUUUAUUUAUCAUACAAGUCAUUGGACCUAUGCUAUUUAUAACUCUUUUCUGUAGAAAUAUUUGGUGGCUUGUAUCUUUUUCCUUCUUAUUUUUAAGGAAUUAUCAGUUGUAUUUUUUAUUUGUAAAAGCUCUUUCAAAAUGUUUA